rnacentral:rRNA from 1 species
GAUGAACGCUGGCGGCGUGCUUAACACAUGCAAGUCGAACGAAGCACUUUAACCUGAUUCUUCGGCUGAAGGUUUUUGUGACUGAGUGGCGGACGGGUGAGGAACGCGUGGGUGACCUGCCUCAUACAGGGGGAUAACAGUUAGAAAUGACAGCUAGUACCGCAUAAGACAACAGAGCCGCAUGGCUCGGUGGGAUGAAAUCCCGUGGUAUUAGCGGGACGCGCGUCUGAUUAGGUAGUGGGAGGGGUAACGGCCUACCAAGCCAGCGAUCAGUAGCCGACGUGAGAGGGUGACCCGACACAGGGGGAGAGAGACGCGGCACACUCUCCUGCGGGAGGGAGCAGGGGAGAAUACUGCAAUAGGGGGGAGCCUGUCAUGCAGCGGCGGCGCGGAAGCAAAGGAGUAUUUGGUCAUGUAAUGCUCUAUCAGCAGAAGAGAAAAUGACGGUACCUGACGAAGAAGCACCGGCUAAAUACGUG